rnacentral:misc_RNA from 1 species
GAUGAAGAACUUAGCGAAAUGCGAUAACUAAUGUGAAUUGCAGAAUUCAGUGAAUCAUCGAGUCUUUGAACGCACAUUGCGCCCCCUGGUAUUCCGGGGGGCAUGCCUGUCCGAGCGUCAUUGCUGCCCUCAAGCACGGCUUGUGUGUUGGGCUCCGUCCCCCCGGGGACGGGCCCGAAAGGCAGCGGCGGCACCGAGUCCGGUCCUCGAGCGUAUGGGGCUUUGUCACCCGCUCUGUAGGCCCGGCCGGCGCCAGCCGACAACCCAUCAUCCUUUUCAGGUUGACCUCGGAUCAGGUAGGGAUACCCGCUGAACUUAAGCAUAUCAAUAAGCGGAGGA